rnacentral:misc_RNA from 1 species
GAUGAAGAACGCAGCGAAAUGCGAUAAGUAGUGUGAAUUGCAGAAUUCAGUGAAUCAUCGAAUCUUUGAACGCACAUUGCGCCCCUUGGUAUCCCGAGGGGCAUGCCUGUUCGAGCGUCAUUACGCCCCUCAAGUCCCCUGUGGACUUGGUGUUGGGGAUCGGCGAGGCUGGUUUUCCAGCACAGCCGUCCCUUAAAUUAAUUGGCGGUCUCGCCGUGGCCCUCCUCUGCGCAGUAGUAAAACACUCGCAACAGGAGCCCGGCGCGGUCCACUGCCGUAAAACCCCCCAACUUUUUAUAGUUGACCUCGAAUCAGGUAGGACUACCUGCUGAACUUAAGCAUAUCAAUAAGCGGAGGA